rnacentral:rRNA from 1 species
GGGUUGUGAGGUUAAGCGACUAAGCGUACACGGUGGAUGCCCUGGCAGUCAGAGGCGAUGAAGGGCGUGCUAAUCUGCGAUAAGCGCCGGUAAGGUGAUAUGAACCGUUAUAACCGGCGAUACCCGAAUGGGGAAACCCAGUGUGAUUCGUCACACUAUCAUUAACUGAAUCCAUAGGUUAAUGAGGCGAACCGGGGGAACUGAAACAUCUAAGUACCCCGAGGAAAAGAAAUCAACCGAGAUUCCCCCAGUAGCGGCGAGCGAACGGGGAGGAGCCCAGAGCCUGAAUCAGCAUGUGUGUUAGUGGAAGCGUCUGGAAAGGCGCGCGAUACAGGGUGACAGCCCCGUACACAAAAGCGCAUGUGCUGUGAGCUCGAUGAGUAGGGCGGGACACGUGGUAUCCUGUCUGAAUAUGGGGGGACCAUCCUCCAAGGCUAAAUACUCCUGACUGACCGAUAGUGAACCAGUACCGUGAGGGAAAGGCGAAAAGAACCCCGGCGAGGGGAGUGAAAAAGAACCUGAAACCGUGUACGUACAAGCAGUGGGAGCACCCUUCGGGGUGUGACUGCGUACCUUUUGUAUAAUGGGUCAG